GGGGGAUUUGCUGAGUGUCCACCUCUCAGUGAAGCUCUCCCAGCCUUCUGGGUCUGACGCUGGAUCCCAGCACCUGGCACCCCAGGAGCUAAUGUGCACAGGCGGGUCCCGUUGGUCAUUUUUGCCUUUAGAGUUCUUGACAGCAGCAGUCCUGGCAGGGCUGUCCCUCUGUCCAGUGGGAUUUAUCACUUACCUUCAGGCAAGUAAGGGCUUCCCUGGUGGCUCAGGCAAUACUCUCCCUGCGAUGCAGGAAACCCAGGUUCAAUCUCUGAGUCAGGAAGAUCCCCUGGAGAAGGGAAUGGCUACCCGCUCCAGUAUUGUUGCCUGAGAAAUCCCAUAGACAGAGGAGAGGUGGGCUACAGUCUAUAAGGUCGCAAAGAGUUGGACUCUACUGAGCGACUAACACACUUGCACACAGGUAAGUAAAGAUAAUCAUCGCUCCCACUUCCUACCCCGAGGAGUAAUUCAGUAUCUCCUUUUGGAAUAAAACCCUGCGAGCCAACUGAAAAUUAAUUACCCAAGAAGGCUUACGGAAUACCUCAUGCUAGGCCAACUUUCAUUUUAGAGAAGGGGAAACUGACACCCAGAAAGGAUAUUGGAUUGGCACAGUCUCACAAGGAGUUAGUGGCAAACCACGAUGAGGACCUAGGCCAAAGGCCACCACCAUCCCUGCCCAUCAGAUUUCAGGGAUCAAAGGAAAACUGGGAUGGGAUCAAGGGCCCAACCUGGCCCCCGUCCAGCGCCACUUCCUCCUGAAGGCUGUGAGGAGAGGAGAUGGUCACCAAAUCAGGGAGGUCUGUGGCCUCUGCCCUGCGAGUGGACGUGGCCUCUGCAGUCUGGGGCUCCUGGCAGAGGACUCUUGAGGAGGGGUAGUCCACAGUGGGGAUGUGUUUCUGCUGAAUGCUCUCUGACAAUUGAUUGAAAGUUACUGCCACUCUUUAAGUCCUAGGCUUUGAGCCUGGGCCUUUUCCCUAGAGAGGAGACUGAGUGGUUAAGAAUAGGAAAAAUUUCUUUCUGGAAGACAUGAGCCUGAGAUCUGCCCUCCGACAUCAGCCUUCAUCCAGGCUUCAGCACAAGAUCUCGCGCGACUCCACAGGGCUUGGACUUGGGAGGGAGAAGAGAGACACCGGGCCCAUCAGGACAGUGACCAGGCAAAGGGCCUCCCAACUCUUUGCUCCCUCCGUCUUCUCUGCCAGGGCAUGCAGAUUUCCUGGGCCCAUGUGCUCUAUAAGAAUAAAUCUGCUGCGUGCUGAAGGGGUGCAAAGAACAAUGGAUCCGGAGCAAAGUCUCCUGGAUCUGGAGACUCCAGGCUUUCAGAAGCAGCAGCAACCUGCCUGGCUUCAUAAUCCACCUGUGUGAUAAGAAUACAGGCAUGCAGGGAGGAGUCCAUGCAGUGGCAGGGCAGGAGCUAUCCUGAAGAACUGUGUUUUAGAGGAUUAGAGAGAAUGAGGCAGGGGCAUAUAUGUAGUUAAGAGGUUUCAACAAAACUUUACUGAUCAUCUCUUCUAUGCAAACAACAGCUGAUUCUCUGGGCACAGAAGAUGUAUGAAAUGCAGCCCCGCCCUCAGGGAGCUCACUCGCCCAUGGGGCAGUAAGUGACCAGUUCCUGGGCUAGAGGGCCAAGGUCAGAGCUGUGGCCGCCUGGAGGGGUUGUUCUGUUACUUGAGCGCAGGGUUACGGGAUGAGAGGACAGUGGAGGGGAGGAAGGGCUUUUGUGUUUUUCCAGUAGGGAUAAUGUCAAGUGCAAAGUGCAAGGGUGGAGAAUCUGGCCACACAGCUCUGUGAGGCCAGAGCUUAGAGUGGGGCUGGAGGUGACUUCACAAAGGGAGCAGGUGCUGGGGUCUGAAGAGCCUUCUAAUUCACCAGGGCUAAUGAGCCAGGGUCCUCUCCUACAAAAGGAGGCAACAUUUCAGAGGAAAGAGGAAUCACCCGGUCUGUGAUUUAGGAUAAGCUCUCUGGUAGUCAAGUGGAGGACUGAUGUGGGGUCGAACUGGGAGAUGAGAACCCCAGUUUGGAGGCCGAAUCUGGUGAAACAUCAUGGGCAAUAGCAGCAGAGAGGAGGGGAGGAGAGACAGGAGACAGGGUCACGGAACUUUGUGCCUAGAAGGUAAGGGAUCAGAGUGUCCAGGUUGGAACCACUGGUGUGAUAAGCCAAGCUGGGAGCUUCUUAGGGACACCUCAACUCCCAGAACCUCCUGUGUAUCCUUGGGUCGGGGUCCAGGGGAAGAGAGACGUGCAGAGGAAAAGCUGCACGGCAAGGUGAUACGGGGCCCAGGAGAGUCGGGGACACCUUCACAGAGGAGAGGGGACAGCUGAAAUGACGGAGAGUCUGCGACCUGCUCAGAGACUGUCCUGCCACCCCUGCCCUCUGACACGGGAUUGCAUUUCAGCAUCUUUGAAAUCUUCAGUUUUGAUGGCAAAGCCUUGCUCCUUGCAGUUGGGCAGGGGGAAUGGGCUGUAGAUGGGUGUCUCUGUGGAGUCUGAAUGGCAGAUGGAGCCGCGGCAGCCCCAGGGAAGGGCACAAGUGUAUGGACAGUUGCCUCCAAAUCCUCUGAUGUCCCCACCCUUCUGCCGUGCAGAUUUUCUUUCCAUCCAUCUCUCAACAAGCCAAGCUUAGUAGAAACCACACUGCCUGGGUCCUCCACUAAGAAGGCACUCCCCACCCUACCGCCCCAUCAAGUCCUGUUACAAGCCAAAGCCUGUCUCCUUGCAGAGAGUCAGACAAGACUCAGCUAGGGGUUUCCCCUGGCACCCCAGCCCCCGGGGCCCCUCUUCUGCAGACCCCUCUGCUCUGCUAACCUAAAGGGUCUGCGGCUUUCCUGGGAGGCUCUGGUGGCCCCAACACGACAGGCUGGGAGGCCAAGCAGCAUGACACAGGGGGCCCAGGGGCAGCCCAGCCCACUCCUUGCCCAGUCCCUCCUCCUCGCUGCCAGUGACAAGCUGCUGCCCUGCAGGUAGGACAGGCAUCCCUGCGCCCGGAGGACUGAAUGCAGAAGCUGGAAACGGCUCUCCCUCACAGACUGUGUGGGCAGCUUCUGAAAAACCAAAGUUCAAACCCGCCCCACUUUCUCUUGGAAGGCGCAGCAUCCAGACAGGGAGAGCUCAGCCAGCAGAGAAACCCCCUUCCUGCCCCAGUGCCGCAGGCUCUCCUUUCUGACCCCACCCGCACCCGGGCAGACACAGUCUCCCAAAGCACUGCAGGAACGCUUGGCGGGCCCUGACCUCACUCUGCCCCUAAGGUGCAGAAGUCAUUUCCUUCUCUGGGCCUCAGUUUCCUCCUCUGCAAAAUGGGAAUAAAGUGAAUGCUUGCCUCUCAGAAGGAUUCUAUGAGAGUAUGAAUGUAGAAGUGCUUACUUAACUGCAGGAAGAUCUGCAUGUGUGGAGAUCAUUAGUGUUUGGCCAAAGGGCCCUUCUCGGAGAAGGCAAU